rnacentral:rRNA from 1 species
UGGGGAAUUUUGCGCAAUGGGGGAAACCCUGACGCAGCAACGCCGCGUGGAGGAUGAAGUCCCUUGGGACGUAAACUCCUUUCGACCGGGACGAUAAUGACGGUACCGGUGGAAGAAGCCCCGGCUAACUUCGUGCCAGCAGCCGCGGUAAUACGAGGGGGGCAAGCGUUGUUCGGAAUUAUUGGGCGUAAAGGGCGCGUAGGCGGUGCGGUAAGUCACCUGUGAAAUCUCCGGGCUUAACUCGGAGUCUGCAGGCGAAACUGCCGUGCUAGAGUGUGAGAGAGGCGAGUGGAAUUACGGGUGUAGCGGUGAAAUGCGUAGAUAUCCGUAGGAACAUCCGAGGCGAAGGCGGCUCGCUGGAUCACAACUGACGCUGAGGGACGAAAGCUAGGGGAGCAAACAGGAUUAGAUACCCUGGUAGUCCUAGCCCUAAACCAUCAGGACUUGGGGUUUGCCCUGUACGGGGCAAGUCCCGUAGCUAACGCGUUAAG